UAUGUGGGCAUGCAAUACAUC
rnacentral:siRNA from 1 species